CCAUGAGUAAAGUGGCGACCGGGUGAGUAACACGUGACUAACUUACCCUCGAGCGGGGGAUAACCCCGGGAAACCGGGGCUAAUACCGCAUAACAUCGAGAGAUCAAAGGAGCAAUCCGCUUGAGGAGAGGGUCGCGGCUGAUUAGCUAGUUGGUAGGGUAAUGGCCUACCAAGGCUGAGAUCGGUAGCCGGCCUGAGAGGGCGCACGGCCACACUGGAACUGAAACACGGUCCAG
rnacentral:rRNA from 1 species